GCCAGAUCCUUAACCCACUGAGCAAGGCCAGGGAUCAAACCUGCAUCCUCCUGACACUAUGUCAGGUUCUUAACCUGCUGAGCCACAAUGAGAGCUCCUUGGAUUUUUUUUUUUUUUAAAGAGAAGAUACACAAGGAGUUCCCUGGUUGUCUAGCAGGUUAAGGAUCUCACAUUUUCACUGCUGUGACUCGGAAUGCUGCUGUGGCAUAGGUCCCAUGCCUGGCCCAGGAAGUUCCGCAUGCUGCAGGCGUGGCCAAAAAUCCAACCAAAGAAACAAAAAAGAAGACACAUAAGUACAUUACACUGAUCCUGAGGAUAGAUGUCAGGGCGUGUCUAAACUGUGUCUACACUCAGUAGACUUUGUAAAUAAAGCCCAUAAUUGGUAUGCAUGAGUAGUUACAGCAGUUCUAAUUGCAUGAGACCCAUCUGAGAAGGAUCCAUUCUGUUCUUGGUGGUUGAGAAGAUUAUAAGUGUUGGGUAGAGCUGUGUGUCAUUUAGAAAUGGUUUGCUAGGUUGCAGACAUGCUGCUUUUCUGGUGGGUGGAGAUGGGUAAGAGAAAAAUAGCUGGAUUGGCCCUGGUUCUUGGGAAGAGGAUUUGUGAUUCAGGCUCAAGCUUUGGGUAACCGGGAACAAUGCUCAAGCAAAAGGGAAGGCUGAUCUUGGCUUUGUGGCAGGAAACUGAUGGACCUUCAUUGGUAGGGAUGUUGCCUGUGUAGGUUGCUGUCUUCAGUUACAUCCGUGAUGUGUAUGGUGGAAUCUUUUCAAAGUGAGCAACAACAACAACAAAUUUCUGAAUUUUAUUUUUUGAGAUGGGCUUAGGGUUCUGAUGGCUUAGGGUUCCGGACACCUAGUGAGUGCUCUGGAGUAGCUAUUGAAUGAAAGAACAAAUGUGAUUUUUAAAUGGGCUAAUAAGUCCAUAUAAAUCAAAUAUCCUUUUUUUUUUUUUUUGUCUUUUUAGGGCCAUACCUGCAGCAUAUGGAAGUUCCCAGGCUAAGGGUUGAGUCAGAACUACAGCUGCCAGCCUCUGCCAUAGUCACAGCAAUGUCAGAUCCAAACUGCAUCUGCAACAGACACCGCAGCUCAAGGCAACACUGAAUCCUUAACUCACUGAUCCAGCCUGCAUGUUCAUGGAUACUAGUUCUUUACCACUGACCCACAAGGGGAACUCCCUCAGAUGUCAUUUUUGAAGCAUUUCCGUAAGUCUAACAAAAUUUGGUGUAACAAACUAAGUGAUUUAGAAUAGUAAAGCACCUUAGUAGAAAACUCUUAAAUCACACAUUAUCUUAACCAUCACAUACACAGAUACUUUCAAGAGUGUUUCAUGGAUUGCUAAUGGAGAAGCUGGUUUAUUUUUAGACUGUUUUGGCAUGACUGAUUGGAAUUGGGGAGUAAAUCCAUCCUGGUAACUUAGCGACUAAGUUAUCUACUUCAUGCUUAGUUCUGGCCCAGGUGCUUGUCCUGUGGGAUCUUGUCCCCAAAGAAUGAUGGUGGAAACAAAGUUUCCAGAUUUGGUGCAAGGGCCAAUGGGGAAGCAAAACACCUCUCUGAGUUUGGUGCAAGGGCCAAUGAGGAAGCAAAACACCUCUCUGAGUUUUGAGGUGUACUCAUUUUGAUCUUAAAGGUGGGAGGUAUGGACGUGGGAGUUGAGAGUCAAGGCUGAAUGACCAAGAAGGAGGUGAAAAUUUGAGGUGGGGCUUAAAAGAUGGAAGAGUUUGGAAGGUAGAGGGGAGAAAGGAAGGCAUUGCUUAGAGUAUCUCCCCUAACUUGGAGAUAGUGUUGAGUGUAAGACAGUGACAGGGCGGUGAUUGACCUUGAAGCUGUGGCCAAAGGUGGGACCUGAGGUGGGGUGUGGGACCAGGCAGAGGAUUUGGGAUUUAAUGAAUAAUAGGAGACCGUUGAACAUUUCUGAAAAGGGAAAUGGAAGAAUGAAACUGUGGUUUAAAGAUACGCUUGAUUUGCUGUGUUCAAGAGGACUUCUCAUGACAUGGGUAUAAUUUUCUCUUUCUAUACCCGUAAUGACCCAUAAUGACUUAGGAAAGCUUUCUGAGUGUUAGAUUUUUGUCUCGAUUUUUAGACCUCUCUAAGUCAGAGUGCAAAUAAGCAGUGUGGUCCCCAUUCUACAGGAGGGGGCAGAGAGAGGACACGCAAGAGUUUUUCAGCCCCGUUCUGACCACGUUGGAAUUAAUCCAGGCCUAGGAAGCCAACUUUUCCAGUUACUACUGAACUUGCCAAUGUGAAAUGAAUUGUAAAUACGUGGGGAAGCAAAACACCUCUCUGAGUUUUGAGGUGUACUCAUUUUGAUCUUAAAGAUGACAACAUACUAAAAAUUGAUUUCCCUCCUCCAGUUUUCAAUGGAUUUUUUUUUAACAGCAUUAUUGAGAGAUAAUUCACAUGCCCUAUAGUUCGUCCAUCUAAAAAGUGCACAAUUCAGGGGUUUUUAGUAUAUUCGGAGUUGUGCAGCCCUCACCACACUCUAAUUUUAGAACUUUUUUAUCAGGCCCCUGGAAAAAGUACCCUGUAUGCACUAGCAGCCACUCCCCAGCCCCCUUCCCCCCUACUCAAUUCUAGGCAAGCACUAAUCAAAUUUCGGUCUUAUAGUCCAAUUGCUAUUUUUUAACCUAGUAUUUUACAGAGUGUUAUCACUAUUUUUGGCCUUGGAAGCCCUAAGUUCAAACCCCAGCUGACUAAUACCAUAACCUUGAGAAAGCAUUUUGACUUUAUGUAAGUCUGUUUCCAUACUUUGAAAACAUGAAUAGUCAGAGCUACUUUACAUCUUUUUGCGAUGAUCAAAGGAUGUUUAUAUACAAGUGUUAAGUGAUGUAUGAGUUUAUUAUUGCGGAGGAGGUGUGUAACUGAAUUAUUAAAGAGUCUCAAAUAUUGAUCCUUUGAAAUAUUUGGUGGAAUAUAGUAGGGCACAUAACAAAUACUUGGAUAUGAAAGGACAGAUUUUAUGUUUUUAAGGUUAUAGCUUUAUGGUCUAUGUGACUUGAGGGUUUGGUUUUUAGGAUGGAAGAAGUGUUUCUGGAUUUCCCUGUAGAGCCUAGUAUAAUGGUACUUAGGCUGUUUUUGGAUCACAAACUACUUGGAGAAUUUGAUGAAAGCUAUACAGCUAGACUUGAUUUUGCUUUUUAAACAAUCAAGAGGCUGAUGGAUCCCUUAAAACCUUCCAUAUACGCCCUACAUACUAGAUUAAGGGUCCUUAGUCUUUUUACAAAGAGAGAGAAAAUAGCCCUUCAAAGCUGGAGUGAACCGUCCCACACAUCAGGAGAAGACAGCCAUCCACUCGAAGUGUAUUCAUUUACCCUCCCAUUUUUCAUUUCCACGUUGUACAAGUGUGCCCAGUAUGUGUUUGGCCAAGGCAGGUGGAUUUUCUUCUAGGUAUAGAAAUAGACAUACGUGGCACCUAGAGAAGAAAUGAAGAGUAGUUGCCCUGAAAGAGAGCCGGUGAGAGGAAGGAAAAACAACUGAGCAUCUGUCACUUUGCAAGCAGUGCCCCCUGGGGCUGGGCCUGCACAUUUUAGAACCUUUGUAUAAACAAGUGUUGGAGUCCCAAAGGACCCUGGGGGAGUGGGAAUUCCCAGCAGCCUUACCAUACAAGGUAAGAGGGAUGGCCUUGAUGGAGUUUAUUCUCCAGAUAGCUGCUACUCACGGGCCACUCGAUACCACUCCACUGUUGUUUAUUUCAUCCUGGUUCAGUGGCCCCACGGUGCCAUAUCCCUCAGUAGAGUUAACAAAGAAGUGCAUGCUGGAUUGAAAAGAAAAAGCGAAUUUCUUCCUUCUCAAAUCCUGCUUCUCAAAUCCUUAGUUGGAAGGAACUUAUUAUUCUUAUUCCUAUUAUUAUCUUAUUAUUAUUAUGCUACUAUUCUUCUUAUUGUGGGAAGAUAUUUGGGUACCAGCAGUCAGAGGAUCCAACUAAGAACAAAGCCCAGAGGGUUGGGACGGGAGAAAAGAUGAGGUGGCAGCAAAAUUAACACGCAUAAACUCAAUGGCCAGGUGGCCCCUGUGUCCAGUAAGAUCACUUGCUGCACAGCCUUUGGAUUAUAAUCCUUUCUCAGACAUGUCUUCGGUAGAUCUUGUCUCCUUCUCAUUUUCUUGGCAGAGAUCCAUGAGGAUGCAGGUUCGAUCCCUGGCCUCGCUCAUUGCCGUGAGCUGUGGUGUAGGUUGCAGACUCAGCUCAGAUCUCACGUUGCUGCGGCAGUGGCUUGGACCAGCAGUGGUAGCUACGAUUUGACCCCUAUCCUGGGACCCUCCGUAUGCCACGGGUGUGGCCCU
rnacentral:lncRNA from 1 species